rnacentral:lncRNA from 1 species
CCUUUCUCAAGGUUGAAAAUUUUGGUAUUAGUAUAAUUUUUAGAGACAUUAACAACAUCAAAUGACAUAAUACUAAUUACUUAAGUACUUAACAUUUUAUUCCUUAACAUAGAAAGACAAAAAAACGCACUCAAAAGUUCAUACAAGUUAUUGCACUACAAAACAAGGGUCUCCUCCUUUACAUAGGUCACCAUUUUUAUUUCAUUACAUGCCUGCUUAAAACUAGAAAAUUUCACAUUAGUCCAUAAACACGAGACUAUGUGAUUAUUAUUGCCUUUUAACUCUUUAUUCAGAUGCACGCUGCCUCUGUCGAGACACGAAGUAAGACUCUUGUGGGUUGUUGUUGAAUAUCUCAUCCACCAACCUCGAUGACACCCCAAAGGCCAACUCCUUGGCUUGGCUAUCCCAUUGUCUCACAUGGUUGAUUUUCCCAGCCACGAAGAUCCUCUGGUUAUGGUCUGGGUUAAUGUUCUGGUUGUAAAGACCGAACCCAGUCAUCCUCAGGUUCUGGUUUUGGGAUGCAACGAAUGUAACUGGAAAGUUUGCUGGGACUACAAAUAUGUCUCCACGCGACAACCGGGACCUUAUUUUCCUGUAUUGUCCACUUCUCCUUUCCUCUUCUUGUUCUUGUUCUUGUUCUUCUUCUUGUUCUUCUUCUUCUUCAUAUGAGCUUUGCCUAGGAAGAUGAGGAGAAACCAUUUCAGCGUAUCCAUUUCCUUCGGUAACAAGGAUCACGAAUGUAGCCUUUGAAUUGUAGUGCGGCACAAAGAUUGAUCCCUACAAAAAAAGGAUUUGAUUUUGGUUAGUAUAAUGAUGGAAAUUAGAGGGAAAAUAAAGGGUGGUUUGGUUUUAAGUACUUGGUUUAAUUGCAAGGCUGAAACGGUGACAUUGAUGUCCCUGAGUUGCCGGAAUUCACGUGGGCAAGCCUCGAAGAAGCGGCCGUUUUGGUUGGAGUAGCGAGGGGUUUGGCUCAAUAAGUUGAAGGCGAAUCUCUCGCCACUUUUCUCCCUUGGUGAAGUGGCUUCUUGGCUCAAUGCCCUUAUUUGUUCCUGGCUGGCUUUACGGAACAUUCCCUGUCCCUGCUGCCUUCGACGGCUUUGCCUCCCACCAAACAGCUCGUCUAGCUGCUCACUUCGUGUCUAAUACAACACAACAUGAAUGAAUCAAUGAAUAAUCAAGUUUUAUUAAAAAAAAGUUGAUUAAUUAGUUCAAAGAGCAAUACAUUGAAGGCAGGCUCAAGAAUUUCACGACUAAAGGCUCGGAGAUAUGACUGAGGGCGUUGGCUUCCAGCUGGGAAGAAUUCCUGCAGCAAAAAUAUAAGUAAAUAUCUAUAUAAUCAAAACCAAACAAAUUUGUAAAUGUUUUAAAAAUGUAGGAACCUCGAAUUGUCCAGGGUUAUUAACAGGGCGGUGAAGCACUGCUAUGAUUAGCUUUUCCUUGUUGUCUUGGUUAGCCAAGUACACAGUGCUUCCUGCUGGGACGCUGACUACAACUCCCGGUACUAUAUUGUAGGACUCUUUGUUUUCAUGUGUCAAGAACGUAAGCGUUCCUCUUCCUGUGAAAGUAAACAGUUUACCAUGUUUUAGUUAAUGGUGUUAUAUUAUAUAUGCUGAUAAAGGGAAGAGGAAAUAGAAGAAUGUUCACCGUUGGUGACAAGGUAAAUUUUCUCAGCGUCACAAUGGUGUGGGAGAACGAAAGUGUUGGGGUUUGCUUCUAAGAUAGAUAAGCGGAACUCAUUGAUGCCCCUAAGAAUAGGAUGCCUUGAAGCAAACCUUUGGAGGACCCUGAAAUUGCCAUGUUCUUCCCUGAAUCGAGAUUGGAAUGAUCUGCGAUGGAAGUGGAAAGGAUUAUGGCUUUGUUCUUGCUCUCCUUCUUCAGUUUCCUCCUCUUCUGCUUCUUCUUCUCUCUCUCCCCUCCAUGGAUUCUCCUGGUACUUUUCCCUGCAUUCCCUCACACAUUGUUGCUUCUUUUCCGGCCUUUGUUCUUGCUGGUGGCAAUGUUGCUGACACUCCUGGAAUUGCCUCUGGGAUUGUUGUUGUUCUUGCUCGAAUCGUUUCAAGCACCUUUGUUGGCAUUGUGGUUGUUGCCUUUCUUCUUGUUGUCGGCAUUCUUGCUUACACUCCUCGUAUCUCCUCUGGGGAUCUUCAGGGCGGUGGCGCUGCUGUUGAUCUUUCUCCCCAUACUGACUUUUACAACUUUCUUCACACUGCUGUUGCUCCUUUUGUCCACGUGUAUCCCAUUCGCAUCUCCUCCGGCAGUCCUCGUACCUCUUGGAAGGAUCAUCGUCGCCUCUUCUGCCGGGAAAGUCUUUGGCAGAACAAAGCAAGCCAAAGGAAAGGAAAAGAGAAAAGAGCAGAACUACGCAAGCUGACUUAUUCCUCACCAUGAUUACGAUAGCUCUGUAUUUUGUUACUGUGUGAUGGUAAUAGCAAAGAGUGGUAAUGUAUUUAUAGAAGGUGGAGCUGUGGAAGCUGAUAUUUUUGCAUGCAAAUCUUCAUCAACGUGUUGAAGACAUUGACAUGCAAGGUGACGAGUGUGCAAAUUAAAGAAGACGAAAUAUUGUCUUUCUUUUUUUAUAGUGGGGGGUAGAUAUCGAGAUGCCACAUCCCUUCACGUGGUACUAGCAAGGUUCGGACAAACUUUGCUGCAGGGGGGUUCAUGGUUGUAUCUGUAACUGGAAGGGGCGAAAUGAUGAUGCUUUAACAGCAGAAAGAUGAUGGACCGUGUUGUGUUGUACGUGGACUGAGUUGAAUUCAAAGAGUGUUGAAACUGGGAAGGGUUUUAAAGUGAGAUAGAGAUGUCCCGAUUCACUGAGUUAAGGUUUGAGUUGAUAGAGGACAACUCAAGUGUACACAUGUUGCUGUGCAUGGUGAUGAUCUAUGAGUUGCGGGAGAUAUGAACAAAUUCAGAUAUGUAUAUUUUUGGUAUCCUGUACGUUUGAUGCUCAGACAAAUUAGUCCUUUCAAAGUUUGAGGUAUUUUUAUUCGUUUUCAAUAACAUUAUCUAAGUAUUACAUAUAAUAUCAUUAUACAAAUUUAUAAUAACAAUGGAAAAUAAAAUGUUUCACUAAAAACACUUCAAAGUAAGGAUUUGGAUUCAAUAUAGAUGAUAGGAUAUAAGUUAUACAGUCCAAGCUAACAUAAGGUGCCACAUGUUAAGAAAUAUGGUAAUUUAUUUUUUCAUAAAUUUUGAAUUAAUUAUACUUAUUCAUUAAUAAUUUUAUAUAAUCCUAACAAUAUUAUACUAUGUUAGUUUAUUAAAAACAAACAAGUAGGCUAGGGGCUAGGGACAUGACUCUUUAAUUUUAUGACUAUUUUUUUAAAAAAAAUCUUAAAAUUUAGGGUUAAUAAAAACAAAGUAACCUAUAUUUAUUUGGUAUUUAAAAUAUUUUUUAAACUUAAUUAAUACUUAAACUUGUAAAUCAAUUUGAUAUUUUCUUUGAAUAUUUGACUAAUAUCAUUAAAAUUCGUUGACAUAAUACUGACGACCAAUAACAUAGCAACAUGUGUCAACAUCACAUUUUGACACGCGGUAAAAAUAAUAAAAAUUUUAGAAAUUUUUAUACAUCUCAUUUUAGACAUACUUUUUUAGUAUUUUUUUAUAUAUUUUAGCUUUUUUAUAACAUAUUAGAUUUUUUAUAUUUUUAUUAUUAUUUUGACAUGUAAAAUAUACAAAUCUAAAAAAUAAAUAAAUAAAUAUAUAUAUAUAUAAACAAACAUCUAGUACAUAUUUCCUCUUCGAUGCUUCUUGUAACGACCUAAAAAGUGCAGGCAUUGGAAAGUGAAUUAUCGGGCCUCCAUUUUAGUGAAACAAGUUUGUAAAUAAUUAUUAAAAAUAUUUAUAGAAUUAAUUAUAAGACCAAUUGGAUUUUAGUUAAGUGAAUUUAGUUGAAUUAAAGUUAAUUGAGUAUUAGGACUAAAUUGAAUUAAGUGUGAAAGUUAAUUAUAGAAUAGUGAAAGGAGAAAGGACUAAACUAAUAAUUAAAUCAUAAAAAGUGACAAAUGUGUGGUAAUUAUAAAUAUAUGUGUAAUAAAUAUAUGUAUACAUUUGUAAUUAAUAUAUGUAUGUACUUAUUAAGUAAAAGAUAUUUAUAUAUUAUAUUAUUAUAAUAUAAAGUAAAGAAAUAAAAGAAAUAAAAGAAAAAGAGAAUAGAAACAUAAUAGCAAAACGAAACAGAGAAGAAAAGAAGAAAAAGAAAGAAAGAAAAGGGAAAAGUAAGGUUUUGAGGUUCCAAGCUCAAUUGCUAAUAUCGUGCAAGAGUCAUUGUCCGAGAAAGGAAAGGAGAAGGUGAAUAAGGAGUGACUCGAGAAAAUUACGGUUAGUAUUACCAUAAUUCGAAUUUAAUUAUUAAUUGUUAAAAUUUAAAUUAAUAUACAUGAUAAGCAAAUUGAGGUAAGUAUCAUGAUUGAAUUAAAUGAAAAAUAUGUAUUGGUAUUGAAUUUAUUAAUAGUAAUUGUUGAAUUUUGAAUAAUAUGUUUAGUAAAUAAAAAUAAGGUAAAUAUCGAUAUUGAAUUAAAUGAUAUUUAAUUGCAUGUGAAUUGAAUGGAAAUUACUAGUGAUAUGAUUUGAAUUAAAAGAAUUAAUGUGGUAUUGAAAUGCAUAUUGGAUUGAAAGAUUGAUUUAAAUUGUGAACAUGAGAAAUUGUGAAUUGAAUGAAAUUAAAAUGAAGUAUGAAUAUAUAUAUAUAUAUAUAUACAUAUAUAUGAGCAUUUGAUGGUAUACUGAUUGGAAAGUGAAAAAUGUAUUGAAUUAAAUUGUGAUUAAAUUGGAAUGAUUUGAAUUGAAAGUAUGAGAAAGUGAUUGAAUUGAAAUGUGAUUCGGAAACCCUAUUAACUAGUCGGGAUGAGUCGGAUAUAGUUGGCAUGCCAUAGGAUUGGAAGAGUUCAAGGAUACUUCGACCUAGAGUCAAUGAGACAUUGGGUGUCAUUAUAUUUCUUCGGAUAGUUUUGAUGAGGUACUGGGUACCAAUUUUCUUCGGCUCUGCCGAUGAGACACUGGGUGUCACUUUAUUGCUUCGAACUAUCCGAUGAAGCACUGGGUGCCAUUCUGGUGUGUUUGGUUUGAUCCGUGUAUCCUCCAAUGUCCGAGUCUUGUUAAUAGGGGUAAAUAAUUGGAAUGAGAAAAAUUGAAUAAGUGUGAUUGAUUGAGCUAUGGAAAGAAAUGAGAAAGUGAAAUUGUGAAUUAGAAAUCGAGAUAUGAGAUUUGAAGAUAUGAACCCAAAGUUCAUGAUUUGAUUAAGAGUAAAUUUUUGUUAUAUGAUAUUAGUGAGUACAAAUUGCAAUAGAAUUGAUACUGAAUAUAGUGAUAAAUUGAAUGAAUUGCAUAUGAACUUAAAUGAACUAUUGGAAUGAGAUGUGAAAAAUCCAAUAAAAUUGAGAUAGUGAAAUAAGGUAUGAAUACAAUUAAAUACAAGAUUGAAAUAUUACUUUUUGUUAUUAAUGAUCAAGUUGAUUUAAAGUAUGAGAUAAUUAAUGAAUAAUUGUAGACAUAAAUUAAAUGUAUAUAAUUUAUCAAUUAAUAUUAUUAAUUUGAAUUAUGGUAAUACCACUGAGUAUACCCAUACUCAGUGUACGGUUGUUUCCGUGCGCAGGUUAAUAGAAAGUCAGUAUCUGGUCUAGCAUCCAAAGCAAUCCCGAUGUAACACCCCGACCCGUGUCCGUCGCCGGAUUAGAGUUACGAGGCAUUACUAAACAAAGCACACAUCCGAACAAUUUACAAGUACACAUAAACAAGUCUCUUAAAUCAAUCAAAUUUUAAAUCAUAAAGCUAACAUAAACUCUUUAUGAAUUAUUCCAUAUUUUAAAACGAACAUAUAUAUAGUCACAUAAAUCAUAAAAGAAAAUAUCAAAUAAAUCAAAAAUCACUUUUUCAUAAUCGGCAUAUCAUGCGUUUACAUUCAAUAACUUACAUUGACUGAAUGUAAUAUACUUAUCAUUAUAAUUCUACAUACAACUUAGUCAUUAAAAUUCAAAUAACAAAACCAAUUUACUUAAAACACAUAUACCCUUCUAGUUUUAUUAUAACACAAGUCACUAUUCAAAUGGUCAAACCCAAAUACAAAAGCUGGAAAUAAACUUGCUAAUUCAUAUGUUUUAGUAAAUAUCUAUUUUCAUUCAACUAAAUUACAUCGCACGCAAUUGAUAUUGCAUAGUACCGAACUAAAAUAUAUUGUUCCAUAAUUAGCAAUUUAUAACAAACUCAUCGCUAAUAUAUAUAUAACAUGUCCGUAUGUAAGUAGGCUUAAUACACUAAUCAUAACUAGUUCAUUAUGUACAUAUUAAACACUUAUUCACCUAUUACAAGCUUGUGCAUGUGUGUACUCCAAAUGGGUCAUUUCCGAACAUCCAUAUUUCAUUAUCACUACAAAAUUAAUUAAGACAUAUUCGGCCAUUAUAACACUCAAACUAUAGCAUAUUUAUGUUUUCUUAACACAUACUUAUCAAUAUAAAUACGAACCCCCAAAACUAAAUCUUAUAAUCACUUACAUUUUCAAAUCAAACAUAAUUUAAAUACACCACAUGUAUAUACAAUAUUUCUAAAUACCUAAUUAUCACAUAACAUAAUCUUAAUUCAACUAACAUCCAAUAUUAAUCUUAUUGCCGAAACACAUAACUAAAUAUCACCUUUUUAUUCAACUCAUAUCACAAGACUUUAAUAUCUAACAUAAACCAAAUUUAUCACAUACAUGUAACUUGAAUAUCUCAUUCAAAUGCAAGCUCAAAUCAUGAUCAAAUGUAGUCAAAUUCAAGCAUAAAAAUUAAAGACAUCAAGCACCCAUUCAAAAACACAUAAAACCCAAUUUAAACAAAAUGAUCAUGAAUAAGCCAUUUUUAAACCAAACCGAACACAAGCAUGGAAAUUAAACCAUUUUCGCAUGGCUAUUUAUAUAUUAAUGAUCCAAAACUAACCAAAAACAUAAUCAAGCUUAGAGGUGCUCAUGGGUCGGGCCGGGUUCGGGCUGGGCCCAAAAAAUUUUCGGCCCGGGCCCGGCCCGAAAUAUGGGCCUAGAAUUUUGCCCAGGCCCGACCCGAAAAAAUUCAUAAGCCCGGGCCUGGCCCGGCCCGGCCCGUUUUUUUAAAUAAAUACCAAAAAUUUAUUUUAAAAAUUAAAAAAGUAUUUUAAAAAUAUUUUAAAAUUAAAAAAAUUUAAAAAAGUAUUUAAAAAAAUUUAAAUUUUAAAAAAUUUAAAAAAAGUAUUUUAAAAGCAUUUUAAAAUUAAAAAAAUAAAAAAAAUAUUUAUUAUAUUCUGGCCGGGCCAAAAAAGUGGUGCCCGAGGCCCGGCCCGUUUUUUAAUCGGACCUCAUUUUUUUGCCCAAGCCCAUAUUUCGGGCCUAUAUUUUUACCCAAACCCUCCCAUAUUUCGGGCGGGCCGUCGGGCCGGGCCGCCCGGCCCAUGAGCACCUCUAAUCAAGCCUAUACAUGCCAUAAGAUAAAGUUCAAACUUUAACAAAAUACCAAAAGAAGUCGAUAGUGUGAUAGACUAUGCUGAUUAGAGGUGCUCAUGGGCCAGGCCGGGCCGGGUUCGGGCCGGGCCCAUAAAAAUUUUGGCCCGGCCCGAAAUAUGGGCCUGAAAUUUUGCCCAGGCCCGGCCCGGGAAAAAAAUCAUAAGCCUAAAAAAUAUUUUAAAAUUAAAAAAUUUUAAAAAUAUUUUAAAAUUAAAAAUAAUAAAAAAUAUAUUUUAAAAAUAUUUUAAAAUUAAAAAAAUAAAUAUAUUUAUUAUAUCGGGCCAAAAAAGUGGUGCCCGAGGCCCGGCCCGUUUAGAAAAUAGGCCUCGUUUUUUUGCCCAAGCCCAUAUUUCGGGCCUAUAUUUUUACCCAAACCCUCCCAUAUUUUGAGCGGGCUGCCCGGCCCGGCCGCCCGGCCCAUGAGCACCUCUAAUGCUGAUGAUCCCCGAGCUCGUAACGUGACUCCAAAAUCUAUAAAACAAAGGUAAACAAAAACACACAAAGUAAGCUAUAAAAGCUUAGUAAGUCAUAAGCAAAAAUUCAUAUAUAUAUACUAAUACUUAUUCCAUCAUUAAGUUAAAAUAAACCAAAUAUUCUAAUAUUUUGUACCAUAUAACACUUUAAUAAAAAUCACAUUGUAUUUUCAUAUAAACAAACCAUAUGGCCAGAUACACAUAAAUAUUUAACAAAGCCAAAUUUUCAACAAAUCAUUAUGCCAAAACAUGCUUAUAUUCAAAUGGUUAACUCAUACUCUAUAUUUCAUUUGAAACUAUUAUCAAUUUAAAAUAAUCAACUUACCUUAACACUAAUUAAGCAAAUGGCUAACACAUACCUAAAUAAUUUAGCUUUCUUAACACAUUUAUUUGCUUUUACUAUUGCUCACAUAAGAUUUAUAGAACAUAGAACCUUGUAUAAAACACCGACAUAUAGUCUNNNNNNNNNNNNNNNNNNNNNNNNNNNNNNNNNNNNNNNNNNNNNNNNNNNNNNNNNNNNNNNNNNNNNNNNNNNNNNNNNNNNNNNNNNNNNNNNNNNNUUCUAGGCAUAAAGCCUGAUGUAAUUCACCGACAUCAAGCCUGCUAGGCAUUAAGCCUGAAAAUCUCAAAUACAAGGAUGAUCUUAUGUAUAAUUCUUUAUGUUUACAUAAGUUUUACUCACUAACCGUAUCUUCGUAAGAAUUGAAUUAUAUUCAAUUAUUCAUAGCAAACAAACAUUCGAACCACAUAUGUAUAAUUUACAACAUUAAAAUUCAGCUCAAAGAAUUUGUAACCUAUAUUCGAACCACAUAUGUAUGUAAAAUUCAUACAUUAAAUUCAGCUCAAGAACUUUAAAUAUAUAUAUUCGAACCAUAUGUGCAUAUAUAUAUAUAUAANNNNNNNNNNNNNNNNNNNNNNNNNNNNNNNNNNNNNNNNNNNNNNNNNNNNNNNNNNNNNNNNNNNNNNNNNNNNNNNNNNNNNNNNNNNNNNNNNNNNNNNNNNNNNNNNNNNNNNNNNNNNNNNNNNNNNNNNNNNNNNNNNNNUGAACUUAAAGCAUACUUUAGCUAAUAUACAUGUAAUCUAUACCAUUAAUAUCAACCUCCAAAAUCAAUUUCUAUGUUCGGCUAUCACAUAGAAAAAUCACUAAGUUUUAUUCAAUUUAUAUACUUUUAGUUCCAGCUUACUAAAUGUAUGAUAGAUAUAUUUAUAUAAAUUUCAAAUUUAUAACAUUUAAAUUGCUAUUAGACUUACCUCGGAUAGUGAAAAAUUGAAAUCGGAUAAUUAGUCGACGAUUUUGGUUUUUUCCUGAUCUAGCUCCGAUUUCUUUGGUUUUUGAUCUAAACAUAUUCAAAAUGAGCUAGUUUAAAUAUUAUUAACUUCAAUUUAAUCCAAAAACACAUAAAUGGAAAAUUACAAAUUUGCCUCUAACAUUUUACAUUUUUCACAAUUUAGUCCGAAUUACACAAAACACAAAAUAUUCAAAUUUUGACUAUACUAUGGUUAGGCUGAAACUUCAUUAUACUCAUACAAGUCCAUGCAUUUUAUUUAUUUCGUAUUUUAGUCCCUCAAAAAUUUAUUUUCACAAUUUAGCCCUAAAUACUCAAAUUCAUCAAAAAUCCCAAGACAAAACAUGUAAAUCUAACACAUAUAUUUCAAUUUCAUCAACUAACAUCAUAAAACUCAAACAUCCAUCAAUGGCACAUUUCAAAAUCAUCAUCAAUUCACAAAAUUGAAGCAUGGGUUUUGAAGAACACAAAACAACGAUAUCAAAAACGUAAAAAUUAUCAAAAACCGAACAAAGAACUAACCUUAAUCAAAAUUCAAAAUGGCCGAACCCUUAGCUUGUUCUUUCCUUUUUCUUUUCUUUUACAUUCGGUNNNNNNNNNNNNNNNNNNNNNNNNNNNNNNNNNNNNNNNNNNNNNNNNNNNNNNNNNNNNNNNNNNNNNNNNNNNNNNNNNNNNNNNNNNNNNNNNNNNNAAAAAAAUGAUAAUGGCUUUUUAACUUAUGUUUGUUUUUAUUAUAAUAACUUUAUAAUAUAUUAUUUAUUAUUAUAACCUUUAUAAUUAUUAUAAAAACUAUAUAAUAUAUACAUAGUGCCGUCCAUUCAUUAAUUCAAUGGUAAAAUUGCAAAAUGAAACCUUCAUAUUAGAAGAACAACGACUAUUUGGCCCUUCUAAAAAUAACCACUAAAUUUUUAUUUUACGCGAUUAAGCCCUAUUCUCAAAUUAAGCAUUCAAACAAUAAAAUUAAUUUACGAAACUUUCACACAUAUAAAUUCACACAUAAUAAACACAGAAAAAAAUAUUAAAAUAUUUUUCAGACUCUAAUGUGUGGUCCCGAAACCACUGUUCCGAUUUGGGUCAAAAUCGGGCUGUUACACCCGACCUCAGAGAAAUUUUAGUGAUGUACCUUUCUUGUGAUAAUGGGGCAUGUACCUAAGUGAUGUAUAGGUUAAGUAUAAAAGUAUUGUGAUUAUGGUUUUACAACUAUGUUAAAAUUUGUUACAAGUAUGGAAUGGAACUAAUAUGACAUAUUUGAUACAAAUAUGCUAUGCCUGCUAUUUAUUUGUGAACUAGUUAUAGGUUAUCUGAUAUAUUCGGUAAUACUCCGUAACCCUGUUCCGACGACGGUUUAGGGUUAGGGGGUGUUACACUUCUGGUGCAAUAUAAUAUGGGCUACCAAUAAUGUCCUUGAAAUACAUCAGCUAUUCCAAAGGCACGGAGUUAAAAAAAUAAAAAUAAAAAUAAAAAUCAACCCGACCACGAAAAUUUUAAUGAACGGAGAUUAUUAUAUUUGCACCUGGCUUAUAAAAGAGUGACACACCCAAAUUCGUAGCCUUGAAUGGUGAAUUUUCGUCUUUGUAAUAGAAUGGCAAGUAUGGAUGAUUUGGACCAUGGUUCUAAGCAAAGAAGCGGCCGCACGUUGUUAUCAUUUUUAAAAAUGAUUUUUUUGAAAAAAUUUUAAUUUUUGAAAAUGUUAAAAUUAGAAUUAAAUUGAUAAAUUUUGUAAAUGAUGAGAGUUAAAUUUAUUAAUUUUUUAGAAUUCAAACUAAAUUGACUAAUUUUGUAAACAUUAAGAGCUAAAUUUAUUGAAAUUUUUAUAUUUAGGAUCAAACUGAUAGAAUGUGUAACUAUCAGAGGAUUAAAUUUGUUAUUAGACUAAUAAAAAAAACCCAUGCCAGCUUCCCGUACUCAUCUUAGGGCAACUAAAAGUAGAGUGAUUAAAAUAUUGAUUUUGAAAAAUUUAAUGACUAAAUUGAAAAUCUAAUGAAAGGUAUAGUUGGGUGACAUUUUUGUAGUUUACCCAAAUAAUAAUAUAUUUUAUACCAACAUCAAUGCAAAUUAAAAUCGGGUAAUUUGGACUUGUGAAACAAAUGGGCCGAUCCAAUGUGGACUCUCAAGGCUUUAUUAAAAAUCACUUCAACCCAUUACAUUUGAGGCCCAAUGCACCCUAAAUUCAAUAUAAUUCACCAAUAAUGUCUUGGCAUUUAAAAAUAUCAUGGAGGCCCUUGUACUAAGUGUUAAAUUGUAUUUUGCCCCCUCUACUUAAAAAAUAGACAAAUUAGUCCCUGUACAUUAGAUCAAGGAGCAAAUUGGUCAUUUCUGUUAAAAAUUUCAUCCAUUUCUACUAUUAACAAUUGACAUGACUGACAGAAUAACCAAAUAGUGAUACGUGUCAUGCCACAUGUAUUUUAUGCCAACGAAUAGGGAACAAUUUUUAACAAUAGAAAUAGAUGAAAUUUUUAAUAGAAUGACCAAUUUACUCUUUGAUCCAAUAUACAGGGACUAGUUUGCUCAUUUUUUUAGUAGAGGGGGUAAAAUAAAAUCCAACUCCUAGUAUAAGAGCCUCCAUGGUACUUUUAACCGUGAAAAAACAAAUUACAUAAUUUAUGUUACUAAAUGAUUUUAAUAUAAAAGUUAUCGUACCAUUGUCGAGAGGUAUUAUGGGCUGAGUCAAAUCUAUGUAUGGUAUUAGCACAAUUUAUUUUCAUUAAAUUCGGCUCAGCUCAAAAUAUAAGUCACAAAAUUUUCUCAUUCCUACCGAUAUCGGUAAAUAACUAACUGAAAAGCUUGUUUUAAGCUCAUUAUAUUAUAUUUUCAAUUUUUACAAAAAAAUAUUAUUUUUAAUUCAAUAUUUAACAAUUUAGCAUUUUUAUU